rnacentral:rRNA from 1 species
UACGUAGGGUGCAAGCGUUAUCCGGAAUUAUUGGGCGUAAAGAGCUCGUAGGCGGCUUGUCGCGUCGUCCGUGAAAACCUGCGGCUCAACUGCAGGCUGGCGGUCGAUACGGGCAGGCUGGAGUUCGGUAGGGGAGACUGGAAUUCCUGGUGUAGCGGUGAAAUGCGUUGAUAUCGACCGGAACUCCGGUGGCGAAGGCGAGGUGCUGGACCCUUUCUGACGCUGAGGCGCGAAAGCCAGGGGAGCAAACGGG